CGGCAGCACGGACUUCGGUCUGGUGGCGAGUGGCGAACGGGUGAGUAAUAUAUCGGAACGUGCCCAGUCGUGGGGGAUAACGUAGCGAAAGUUACGCUAAUACCGCAUACGAUCUAAGGAUGAAAGCGGGGGAUCGCAAGACCUCGCGCGAUUGGAGCGGCCGAUAUCAGAUUAGGUAGUUGGUGGGGUAAAGGCUCACCAAGCCAACGAUCUGUUGCUGGUCUGAGAGGACGACCAGCCACACUGGAACUGAGACACGGUCCAGACUCCUACGGGAGGCAGCAGUGGGGAAUUUUGGACAAUGGACGCAAGUCUGAUCCAGCCAUUCCGCGUGCAGGAUGAAGGCCCUCGGGUUGUAAACUGCUUUUGUACGGAACGAAAAGGUCUCUCUUAAUACGAGGGGCUCAUGACGGUACCGUAAGAAUAAGCACCGGCUAACUACGUGCCAGCAGCCGCGGUAAUACGUAGGGUGCAAGCGUUAAUCGGAAUUACUGGGCGUAAAGCGUGCGCAGGCGGUUAUAUAAGACAGAUGUGAAAUCCCCGGGCUCAACCUGGGAGCUGCAUUUGUGACUGUAUAGCUAGAGUACGGUAGAGGGGGAUGGAAUUCCGCGUGUAGCAGUGAAAUGCGUAGAUAUGCGGAGGAACACCGAUGGCGAAGGCAAUCCCCUGGACCUGUACUGACGCUCAUGCACG
rnacentral:rRNA from 1 species